rnacentral:rRNA from 1 species
GAUGAACGCUGGCGGCGUGCUUAACACAUGCAAGUCGAACGGAAAGGCUCUGCUUUUGUGGGGUGCUUGAGUGGCGAACGGCUGAGUAACACGUGAGUAACCUGCCCUUGACUUUGGGAUAACUUCAGGAAACUGGGGCUAAUACCGGAUAGGAGCUCCUGCUGCAUGGUGGGGGUUGGAAAGUUUCGGCGGUUGGGGAUGGACUCGCGGCUUAUCAGCUUGUUGGUGGGGUAGUGGCUUACCAAGGCGUUGACGGGUAGCCGGCCUGAGAGGGUGACCGGCCACAUUGGGACUGAGAUACGGCCCAGACUCCUACGGGAGGCAGCAGUGGGGAAUAUUGCACAAUGGGCGGAAGCCUGAUGCAGCAACGCCGCGUGCGGGAUGACGGCCUUCGGGUUGUAAACCGCUUUCGCCUGUGACGAAGCGUGAGUGACGGUAAUGGGUAAAGAAGCACCGGCUAACUACGUG